rnacentral:lncRNA from 1 species
AUGUCAUCCCUGAGGAUUGAGAACCUGGCCCCUGAGGACAGCGGGCAGUAUUUUGCCAACAUCACCUCUACUAAGGGAGAGGGGAUUUUCCAGGUUUUCUACCUCACUGUCUAUGAGCCUGUGCCUCACCCUGAGUUCCUGGCAAAGUCACUGUCUAUCACACCAGACCUGUGUAACGUCACCCUGGAGUGUAGGGCUCCAGGGGCCACAGAAGACCUGAAUGUGACUUGGGAGAGCAAGGGCCUCCUCAGAGAGCUGGAGCAGAGAGAAACACCAGGACCAGCCCCCAACCCCUGGACACUGGCUGUGAACCUGCCCCUGUGCCAGUGCAACACCCACCUCACCUGUGUGGUCAGCAACCAGGUGGAUCAGAAAGCUGCAAUCUUAGACCUUAGGAAAGUCUGUGUCCAAGAAACAGGUUCACACAACAUGGUUAGACUGCUCCCAGGCAUCCUAGGGGCUGUUGUGGGUAUGCUGUUGGUCCUGGGAACUGGGCUGUAUCUUUUGAAGACAUGUGGGAAGAAGAAGAAGAUGAUGAAUAUAGGAAGAGGCAAGGUGAAUUUCCCCUUCCAUACCCAGACACCUCCACUCCCUCACUAGAACCCCAGCUUCCUUUCUCCUGAAUUUUUCUUCCAGGGAGUGGACUCUGCAGAGGGAUGGUGGGUGUGACCUUGGCCUUGCGGUUCGUGGCAGUGGGGAGGGAUACAGGUUUCUAUGGCACAGAUUCAAGCUUUGAUUUUCUCAGGUAGAGAAUGGCAGGAGAACCAUGGGGUCGAUGAUGGUGUCAACCAAUAUGAAGAUCUCAGGCAGCAAGUGUUUCCGAAGGGCAAGGACAAGGUAAGGGCUGGGGCACUGCCCACUCUGGCAACUCCCAGGUCUCUCUGUCCAGCCUUGGGCUUCUAAUUCCAGGACCUGCCAUUUCUGACCACACCGCCUAUUUAUCUGUAUCUGGACAAUCAACAGCAUUUACUAAGAAAUUUGCAUCUGGGUGUGAGGUAGUGCUGGGCACUUUAGAGGAAUUCAUGAGCAGUGCAUGGCAGUGGGUAUUGGCCCUGUGGGUCCCUCCACAUCGUUUCUAUCCCUCAGCUGAUCCAACAACCCUCUGUCUUGUAUUCCAGGGCAUCGGUGAACAAUAUCUGGAAAAAAGGGAGUCUCUCACUCCUAUCUACAGUGAGGUUCAUUAUCAUUGUCCAGGCCAGGCCAUUAAGAUCAUUCAAUUGGAGGAAGCAACAGGAUCUGGCACUCCCAGGACACCUGUACUCUGAGCCUGAAGCCUGCAGAUCCCCGCCUUUCCCAGUGCUGGUUCAGUUUCCGCUGCCCCUAGUCUGUGUUACUCUGAUCUCAUAGCCACAGUUCUACAGUGUACACAUGGCCUAUUCGCAUUCUGUGACACCUCCCAAAGAUGCAUUUACACUUGGGCAAAGAUUCUUCCCUUGUCAUUGACAUUGCUCCUGACCCCUCUCUUUCAGAAGCCUUCCCAAGGGGACCCUGUCUGAUUGCACAGGUGGCAAAUCCCCACCACCUCUGCCAUGUCACUUGUGUGUGUAAUUCUGAGGACACAAGCCCAGACAUGGGAACUGUGCAGAGGUGUUGACUGUGCUGCAGAGGAGGGACAUAGACCUGGCUUCUGGAUGCUCAGUUGGAGGAUAUCGUGGGUGGGUAGAAGCCCACAAAGGAACACGCUGAGGCUUCCUUUGCAGAUUUUGUGUAGGGCUCCCUUGCGGGUACCAGGCAGUGCGUGUGUGCAUGCAGGUUGGUGGUGGAGGGGGGUGUCUAGUGCACAUUAUACAACUGAACCAAAGCCACCUUUCUUUUCUUCUGUGCUAAUCUGAACUUAAUCUUCAGCCUCAGCCUGUGGAUCCAAACUCAACUUCCUGUAGAGUGGAAAGAGAAAUUUUUAUCAUCUCAAAACCUUCCUAGCCUCGGUGUCUCAGAGAAUGACCCUAAGAGGCCACAGUUGGAGGCUGUCUUAGGAACACAGCCUCAGCUCUUUCCUUGGCCUAGUAUAAGGCACUUGGCUGUAAGAACAGAAGUGUGAUAUCCUUCCACACCCACUUGAUGAGGGCUACUUGCGCUCUGAUGGGUGAAGCUGUUGAGAAGGUCUGACUCAGCCCUCUCCGACCUCUUCUUAUUCUGACCCUUAAUACCCCAGUAGCCAUGCUGGCCCCAAACCCUAGGUCAUCCACUUCUUUGCUCACUUGCAUCCCUCUGCCUGACAUGAAAGUUCCUUCUCCCUGUUCCUCACCCUCACUCCCGCCUGUUGAAAUACUACUGUGCUGCUCAAAGCUCUUCCCAAGAUGCUUGUUCCAUGGAGCUCUCUGGAUCUUAAAGGUUUAGACAUGAUCUCUCCCACAACUGACUUUUCUGAACACCUUGGACACUAUGUACGGUCCCUGCCACAGUUUGUCCUGGGAUGGUCAUGAGUCUUCCUGCAGGACUAACCUGGGCUCUCUCAGGAGGAUGUGGGGCUGUGGGGUAAUAGGGCUGAGGAGACAAGUACUUAUUGGUGCAAAUGGUCUGGGCCACCUUGUUCCCAACCCAUGGGGUCAGCAGAGGGAGAUGCAGCACAGGGGCUACUGACGAACUCUCUGGUGUGGCUCUACCUGGAAACAGGGAUGGACACAAUGACCUCCCUUGACUAUGCGUGGCCUGAGUUCCUAAUUGGAGACUUCCUUACUCCCUCAUCCACCUCUUAUUGCGAACCUGGCCAUUCUUCCAUCAUGGUAUGUGGGUGUUUCUUUCCUCCUGAGGGGUCCUCAGCUUCUUGCAGCCUCUGCUUCUUAUUUGAGUCCCAGCUUUUAUGCAGAGAUGAGCUAACUCUAGUACCAUGAGCUGCUGUGGCAUGUCUGGUGGCCUAGAUCCUUGGGCCUCUUAGUUUCCCUCAUGGCUCAGGUGAGCUCAUUUCCUCAUUGCCACCCACAGAAAACAAAGAUCUGAACAGAGCCCCUGCUAAGAGAUGGAGCACUAGAAAAUAGUGCUAGGUGCCUGCUGGAUGGUGGGUGGGUGAGGCAGGAGGGAGAGGAUCCAUAGCAGGGCUUCAUUUCUGCCGUCUUCCCCUUUAGGCUGAGCUGAAGGCCGAGGGUGUGCCAGUCUCUUCACUGGCUUCCCAGGUGACUGGACAUUACUGGGUAUCAGUGAACAUUAACCCUGGGGCAGCAUAAGAUGUGAUCACCCAACUAACUGACCUUCCCACUGCACCAAAGGCAACAAAAAUCCAAACCAAACAAACAAAAAAGAGGAACAAGGCUUUUGAGGCUGUUUUGAACCAGUUUUUGUCCCAGGCACUUUGCACAUAUUAUUCUUUUUAAUUCUUCUUUAAAUACAUUUUUAAUUUUAAGAUACUAAAUGUUUUACUCUUCUUGUUUAUGAUUUCUUCCAAUGAUAUCAAACUUAAAAUUCCUCUGCAUUCAAAGGACCCAAU